rnacentral:rRNA from 1 species
GCAGCCUAUUAACGUUAGUUAAUAUGUGUUGUGAUUUGAUCUACCAUCCUUUCAAUUGUUUAUUCUUUUAUUUCUUCUUAACUGAAGGAGUGAGAGAAUAAAAUCAAACAAUUGAAUCUUUUACUUUGAAAAAAUUAGAGUGUUUAAAGCAGGCUUUUGCUAUGAAUACAUUAGCAUGGAAUAAUAAUUUAGGACUUUGGUUCUAUUUUGUUGGUUUCUAGAACUCGAGUAAUGAUUGAUAGGGAUAGUUGGGGGUGCUAGUAUUCAGAGGCCAGAGGUGAAAUUCUUGGAUUCUCUGAAGACUAACUUAUGCGAAAGCAUU